rnacentral:tRNA from 1 species
UGUCAAGGGAUGGGAAUCGAACCCACGACCUCCCGCUUCCCGGGCAGAUGCCAUGACCACUAGGCUACCCUGGAC